GUGUCAGCCGCCGCGGUAAUACGAAGGGGGCAAGCGUUGCUCGGAAUCACUGGGCGUAAAGCGUACGUAGGCGGGUCGUUAAGUCAGGGGUGAAAUCCUGGAGCUCAACUCCAGAACUGCCCUUGAUACUGGCGAUCUUGAGUUCGAGAGAGGUUGGUGGAACUGCGAGUGUAGAGGUGAAAUUCGUAGAUAUUCGCAAGAACACCAGUGGCGAAGGCGGCCAACUGGCUCGAUACUGACGCUGAGGUACGAAAGCGUGGGGAGCAAACAGGAUUAGAAACCCCGGUAGUCC
rnacentral:rRNA from 1 species